CCUACGGGAGGCAGCAGUAGGGAAUAUUGCUCAAUGGGCGAAACCCUGAACCAGCAACGCCGCGUGGAGGAUGAAGGUUUUCGGGUUGUAAACUCCUUUUGUUAGGGAAGAUAAUGACGGUAUCUAACGAAUAAUCACCGGCUAACACCGUGCCAGCAGCCGCGGUAAUACGGCGGGUGCAAGCGUUAUUCGGAAUCAUUGGGCGUAAAGAGCGCGUAGGCGGGAUAGCAAGUCAGAUGUGAAAACGUCUGGCUUAACCAUAGAACUGCAUUUGAAACUGUUAUUCUAGAGUAUGGGAGAGGUAGGUGGAAUUCUUGGUGUAGGGGUGAAAUCCGUAGAGAUCAAGAGGAAUACUCAUUGCGAAGGCGACCUGCUGGAACAUAACUGACGCUGAUGCGCGAAAGCGUGGGGAGCAAACAGGAUUAGAUACCCGGGUAGUC
rnacentral:rRNA from 1 species